rnacentral:piRNA from 1 species
UCCUGAGGCCGGAAUCAAGGAUGACGGAGA